GAUGCAAGCUUCCCAAAUGCUGUGUUGUAGAAACAUGGUGAUGCAAGCAGCUUUGGUCCUAUACAUUGCUUUUAGGGACAGCACACGGUCCCUCCCAGGAGGGCUGGAAGCUCUUUAUACCUUUCUCCCAUUUCAUUAAUUGCCUGAAACCCUCCCCCAAAUUCAGCUGGAACCUACAAGUGAGACUGAUCUCGCCAGAAUUGGAUUUUCCAGCAAAUUUUUUUGUAGUCAAAAGGAAAACAUUGACCCCUGAGUGCUCUGACACCCUUGUUUUGAGGAAGAUACCAGGAAAAGCUCAGGGGUAGGGUAGUGCCAUGACUUGAGCAGCGGUUUUCCCACAGAGAGGCAGAGUUUGUUACUCUCUGCACAUGGAGCAGUGGUGAAUCAAGGGGAGGAUUUGGCAUGGGGCACUAGUCUAACAUUGAACUGUAAUAGUGAACUGCCUCUUCCUUAAAACUUCUUUGCCUUAAAGAUAAUUUCUCUGUCUUAAAACUUAGUUUUAAAUUAUAAAAAACACAGCACAGGAGGAGGUGGAAAGUAGGCAGCAUGGAUUUUAGCCAAAAUAACACCUGGACUUUCUGCAAAUCUCUGUUGAGAGAUGACCGUAACGAAGUGAACAGGCUUGCUGUUUAUCAUGCUUGCAGCGUGUUUAGGGAGCAACAGCAUGAACAAAUGGAGCAGUGAAGAGAGGAAAAUAAUCCAGCACCAUUUCACUGUCUGGGAUACAUACUGGUGCAGCUAGUGGAUCCCGUUAUUUCACAUCUGUAAAGUUGAGAAAUACGGCUUGUUCCUCCCUCUGCUGCUUGUUGCUUGUAUUAACAGGGGAUGUUCAUCUUAACUAGCCAAGGCUGAGGGUACCAGUGGUGCUGAGAUAACAUCGUCUGCAGUGCCUGGUUGUCAAGCCCUCCAGAGAGGACACGGGCAGGCAGCAAGGCUCAAGGUACACAAGAUGCGCAAACCAGAAGAUAACGAGGCCACAACCGUCAGCAGAAGCUGCAACUCAACAAGAUAAGAACAGUUCAUGUCCUGCCCUCAUGGAGAUGGAGAAAGAAUCCAAUAAGCAGUAUUCAGCCCUAAUGGCCACGGGGACACGUUGGCUGCCCACCACCCUUCAGCCCCAUCACUGCCUCCUCUGCUGCUGGGACCAGCUCAGCCACAGGGCACUGCUCCAAAGCGUGGGGCUCACACAGCAUCCCCCAUGAAUCGGAUGCAUCAGUGCAGUACAAGGGGUUUGUUAGGACUCACCAGAGGCAUGCUUGCA